GAUGAAGAACGUAGCGAAAUGCGAUACUUGGUGUGAAUUGCAGAAUCCCGUGAACCAUCGAGUCUUUGAACGCAAGUUGCGCCCGAAGCCGUCAGGCCGAGGGCACGCCUGCCUGGGCGUCACACGCCGUUGCCCCCCCCCCGCGCCCCGCACCCAACUCUUUGGGAGCGACCGCGGGGCGGGCUGAUGAUGGCCUCCCGUGCGCUCCGCCGCGCGGUUGGCCCAAAUACCGAGUCCCCGGCGACGUGCGCCACGACGAUCGGUGGUUGAGAGACCUCUGUCGCAAGUCGUGCGCGCCCGUCGCGUCACGCGGGCUCGCAUAGCGCCUCGCGCCGCACCCGGUGCGGAGCUUUCAACGCGACCCCAGGUCAGGCGGGGUUACCCGCUGAAUUUAAGCAUAUCAAUAAGCGGAGGA
rnacentral:misc_RNA from 1 species